rnacentral:lncRNA from 1 species
GAGGAGCACGUGAAGGAAGCCAUGCCGGUGGCGAAUCUGUGGAAAUUCGAUGACAGGUGGUUUCUUUCCUCCUAUUUUUCAUUCAUGUACUGGAUCGCAGGUCGAAUUUGAUUUCUUCCCCUUCCUACAGUUCCGAUAGAUUACAAUCUGCUUCUCUUGGAUCUAGGGUUGGUUUAUUUGGGAGGGCAAAUCACUUACCCUAGAGCUGCUCGAGAAAGAGAAGAUUACUGGAUAGUGCACAUGGAAGAUCGAUAGGGCUACAGCUAAAGGGGAAGUCGAUUCGGUCUUCAUGCGACUUCUGAGUCUUUCUAGUGAGCAACCAUAUACAUGGAACCAAAAUCCUCUCUCUGACAAUUAAUUAGCUAUUUAGAAGACCUUAGCGUGGUUUCUAGAACAUGAUUCAGGUUGUAUUUUAUUUUGUGGACCUGUCAUAUCUCCUCUUAGUUAUGAUUUUCCAUAGUUAAUUCCUUCCUAUCUACACUAUACAUUAGAGUAUCAAAUAUAUUUUUAGCAUGGUACAGUACUUAUUAUAAGUCACCAAUAGGAUGAACCAUUCAUACUCCACAACAUGCCAAGUCCUUAUUAUAACUAGGAAAAUAAUUUUCAGACAUCUCUUUCUCAGUUUUAUGCCAGUAGAAAUAGUAUAGAUAUACCACAGAUCUAAUUUUUUUUUAGAUCUGAACAAAAUUUAAUUUUAGACUAGAUCAUGUGAUUUACUAUCAAUGUAUUACUUGAAAUUGCUUGUAGGAUUACUAUAUAGCAGGUGGCUGUGAAGUCAGUUUCAGUACAUAAACCAUAGUGCUCUUUGCAUGUGCACCUUCUCUUUUUCAUCGUGAAGUAUUAUGAGCCUUGAAUUUCAGCAGAUAGGGCAUGUUUCUCUCUAUAAAAAUUGAAACUAACACAUGACAAUUUUUCCUUAGUUUACCUAGCCAGCUGA